rnacentral:rRNA from 1 species
GAUGAACGCUGGCGGCGUGCCUAACACAUGCAAGUCGAGCGUGAACCGUCUGAAUGAAACUUCGGUCGAGUGAGGAUGGGGAAAGCGGCGGACGGGUGAGUAACGCGUAGGCAACCUGCCCCGUACAGAGGGAUAGCCUCGGGAAACCGGGAUUAAGACCUCAUAAUACCAUUAUCUCACAUGUGAUAAUGGUCAAAGAUUUUAUCGGUAUGGGAUGGGCCUGCGUCUGAUUAGCUGGUUGGUGGGGUAACGGCUCACCAAGGCGACGAUCAGUAGCCGACCUGAGAGGGUAAUCGGCCACAUUGGAACUGAGACACGGUCCAAACUCCUACGGGAGGCAGCAGUGGGGAAUAUUGCACAAUGGGCGAAAGCCUGAUGCAGCAACGCCGCGUGAGCGAGGAAGGCCUUUGGGUCGUAAAGCUCUGUCGAGGAGGAAGAUAAUGACGGUACUCCUCGAGGAAGCCCCGGCUAACUACGUGCCAGCAGCCGCGGUAAAACGU